rnacentral:rRNA from 1 species
GUGCCAGCAGCCGCGGUAAUACGUAGGGCGCAAGCGUUAUCCGGAAUUAUUGGGCGUAAAGAGCUCGUAGGGCGGUUUGUCGCGUCUGCUGUGAAAUCCCGAGGCUCAACCUCGGGCCUGCAGUGGGUACGGGCAGACUAGAGUGCGGUAGGGGAGAUUGGAAUUCCUGGUGUAGCGGUGGAAUGCGCAGAUAUCAGGAGGAACACCGAUGGCGAAGGCAGAUCUCUGGGCCGUAACUGACCGCUGAGGAGCGAAAGGGUGGGGAGCAAACAGGCUUAGAUACCCUGGUAGUCC